ensembl:snoRNA SNORA63 Small nucleolar RNA SNORA63
AAGCAGGAUAAGUUACAAUGCAGCUUGUGAAGUACUGCUUUGUCGUUCCCCCUGCAAACAAUAACCUGUUUCCACGCUAUACCUGUCAGUCAGCAUCCCUAGACUGCCAGGCACGUACGGUUUCAGACAC